AUCGCAUUUCUUAGUUAAGAGAUUUAUCCAUGCAUGUGUUCGGCACUUUUUGUAGUGCCUGCGGACGGCUCAUUAAAACAGAGAUAACCUACUCUCAGUGAUAGACGGAUAACUAUGCUAAUUGUGUGGCUAAUACGUGAGUUUAUCGCUUGUCGAUGUCCCAACUACCUUGGUAUUUAACUUGAUAGUUUGUUGGGUUCUUAGGCUCUGCCUAUAGAGAAUGGGUCUCUGAUCUAUCAGCUGUAGACGGUUGUGUAUUGGACAACCGUGGCUUUGACGGAUAACGGGGAAUUAGGGUUCGAUUCCGGAGAGAAAGCAUGAGAAACGGCUUUCACAGCUAAGGUUGGCAGCAGGAGCGAAAACUUUUCAAAUAGGCAAUGCCUGAAAAGGUGACUAUCUGUAUCAACAACUGCAAUUUGUAGUUGAUUGAAAUGAGAGACCUCUAGACGGCGUCUCGAGUAGCAAGUUCAGGGCAAGUCUGGUGCCAGCAGCCGCGGUAAUACCAGCUGAGCUAGAAAUGGGUAAUAUUGUUGCAGUAAAAACGUUCGUAGUCACUCUCUUUCUUUCGGGGACUUCCUUUGUGUUUUCCUCUUUUGAAUGAGUAAUGUUGAAUUUAUUUGACAUUUCCUCCGCGAGUAAAAUAGAAUGAUCAACUUUGUUGGAUAUGAAAGCGCGGUAAAUCUUUAGAUGCCCUGGUUUUUUGCCUAUUAAUUAGGGGAUAUAUCUUAAGAAUGAAUGAGGACAUUGGUACUUAAUGGCUAGAGGUGAAAUUCAUAGAUUCAUUAAUGACUAACUACUGCGAAAGCAUCUGUCUAAUCCAUUUUUGGUGAUCAAGAACUAAAGUGUGGGGAUCGAAGAGGAUUAGAUACCCUCGUAGUCCACACCUUAAACUAUGCCGACUAGAGGUUGGUGUUGGUACUAUACUUCAUCAGAACCUUAGCAGAUAUGAAAGUCUUUGGGCUCUGGGGGGAGUACGGUCGCAAGGGCGGAACUUAAAGGAAUUGACGGAACGGCACCACCAGGGGUGGAGCGUGCGGCUUAAUUUGACUCAACGCGGGAAACCUUACUAGGGUAAGACACUAGAAUGAUUGACAGAUUACUUGAUCUUUCUUGAUUUGGUGGGUGGUGGUGCAUGGCCGAUCUUAGUUGGUGGGGUGACCCGUCUGGUUAAUUUCGAUAACGAACGAGAUCCGAGCUAUUUAGUUGGCCUUUCAGACUUUUGUUUGCUCAGGUCUCCUAAAUGGACUAUCAGUAUGAAGCUGAAGGAAGUUUCGGGCUAAAUCAGGUCUGUGAUGCCCUUAGAUACUCUAGGCGGCACGCGCGCUACAAUGGGUUACUUAAUGUGUUGUUGUGUCGAAAGACUCGACUAAUCACUAAUGUAUACCCGUGAAUGGGAUAGUUUAUUGCAAUUUUCGGACUUGAACUAGGAAUCCCUUGUAAGUACACUCAAGAAUACUGUACUGAAUACGUCCCUGCCGUUUGUACACACCGCCCGUCGUUUCUUCCGACUGAUGUCCAUUGUGAGUUGCACGGAUCUUUUAUUAGAAAAGUGCUGCGAAUGCUGGGCCUUGGAGGAAGAAAAAGUCGUAACAAGGUUAUCGUAGGUGAACCUGCGAUAGGAUCAUUCUCAUAUGAAA
rnacentral:rRNA from 1 species